rfam:Hordeum vulgare subsp. vulgare, WGS project CAJW01000000 data, contig: morex_contig_37473
UUUAUACUCCCUCCGUCUGGAAUUACUUAUUGUACAAAUGAAUAAAAAUGGAUUUAUCUAGAACUAAAAUACAUCUAGAUACAUCUAUUCUUACGAUAAGUAUUUCCGGAAGGAGGGAGUAGCAA